rnacentral:rRNA from 1 species
UGGCGGGGGAGCACCACAAGGGGUGCGGCGUGCGAUUUAAUCUAACUUUACACAGAGAAUCUCACCAGCGGCGACGGCAAAAUGAAGGUCAGUCUGAAGGGCUUACCUGAUGAGCCGAGAGGUAUUGCAUGGCCGACGUCAGCUCGUGCCGUAAGGUGUCCUCUUAAGUGAGGUAACGAGCGAGACCUGCGUCUUUAAUUGCCAGCCGGCUUUACGAAGCGACGGGGCACAUUAGAGAGACUGCCUUGGAAACAAGGAGGAAGGUGCAGGCCACGUUAGGUCUGUAUGGUCCGAAUCUGCUGGGCAAUACGCGCGCAACAAUGGUUAAGACAAUGGGCUGCGACACCGAAAGGUGGAGCUAAACCUCGAAACUUAAUCGUAGUCUAGAUCGGGGAUUGUAACCCAUCCCCGUGACAUCGGAAUCCCUAGUAAUCGGGUGUUAUCAGCGCCCGGUGAAUAUGUCCCUGCUCCUUGCACACACCGCCCGUCAAACCAAUCGAGUGGGGUCUUGGUGAGUCUUAUCUUUU